rnacentral:rRNA from 1 species
CUACGAAGGUCCCAAGCGUUAUUCGGAAUCACUGGGCGUAAAGAGUACGUAGGCGGUUUGGUAAGUCAGGUGUGAAAUCCCGGAGCUCAACUCCGGAACUGCAUCCGAUACUGCCAGACUUGAGUAAUGGAGAGGCAGGUGGAAUUCUCGGUGUAGCAGUGAAAUGCGUGGAUAUCGAGAGGAAGACCAAUGGCGAAGGCAGCCUGCUGGACAUUUACUGACGCUGAGGUACGAAGGCUAGGGGAGCGAAAGGGAUUAGAUACCCCAGUAGUCC